rnacentral:tRNA from 1 species
ACAGAUUACGCAAAGGCAGCGGAUCAGUCUCCAAAACCGAUUGUAGCAGGUUCGAUUCCUGCAAUCUGUG